AGUGAACGUUGGCGGUAGGCCUAACACAUGCAAGUCGAACGGCAGCACAGUAAGAGCUUGCUCUUACGGGUGGCGAGUGGCGGACGGGUGAGGAAUACAUCGGAAUCUACUUUUUCGUGGGGGAUAACGUAGGGAAACUUACGCUAAUACCGCAUACGACCUACGGGUGAAAGCAGGGGAUCUUCGGACCUUGCGCGAUUGAAUGAGCCGAUGUCGGAUUAGCUAGUUGGCGGGGUAAAGGCCCACCAAGGCGACGAUCCGUAGCUGGUCUGAGAGGAUGAUCAGCCACACUGGAACUGAGACACGGUCCAGACUCCUACGGGAGGCAGCAGUGGGGAAUAUUGGACAAUGGGCGCAAGCCUGAUCCAGCCAUACCGCGUGGGUGAAGAAGGCCUUCGGGCUGUAAAGCCCUUUUGUUGGGAAAGAAAAGCAGCAGGUUAAUACCCCGCUGUUCUGACGGUACCCAAAGAAUAAGCACCGGCUAACUUCGUG
rnacentral:rRNA from 1 species